AUUGAACGCUGGCGGCAGGCCUAACACAUGCAAGUCGAGCGGAUGAAGGGAGCUUGCUCCUGGAUUCAGCGGCGGACGGGUGAGUAAUGCCUAGGAAUCUGCCUGGUAGUGGGGGAUAACGUCCGGAAACGGGCGCUAAAACCGCAUACGUCCUGAGGGAGAAAGUGGGGGAUCUUCGGACCUCACGCUAUCAGAUGAGCCUAGGUCGGAUUAGCUAGUUGGUGGGGUAAAGGCCUACCAAGGCGACGAUCCGUAACUGGUCUGAGAGGAUGAUCAGUCACACUGGAACUGAGACACGGUCCAGACUCCUACGGGAGGCAGCAGUGGGGAAUAUUGGACAAUGGGCGAAAGCCUGAUCCAGCCAUGCCGCGUGUGUGAAGAAGGUCUUCGGAUUGUAAAGCACUUUAAGUUGGGAGGAAGGGCAGUAAGUUAAUACCUUGCUGUUUUGACGUUACCAACAGAAUAAGCACCGGCUAACUUCGUG
rnacentral:rRNA from 1 species